GUGCUGUUCGGCGUGAUAAUUCGGGAAAAAAGGACAUACCUAGGGACUCAUUGGUUGAACAAGUGAAAGAAUUGCUAGAAAGUAUUCAACAAAGCCUGUUUGAUGCGGCAAAAGAGAAACGAGAUACAUGCAUUCAAGUUAUUAAUACAUGGGAGGAGUUUACCGAAGCCCUCAGUCAGAAGAAAAUGAUACUAGCUCCGUGGUGUGAUGAAGAGGAGGUUGAGAAGGACGUGAAAACAAGGACCAAGGGUGAGAUGGGAGCAGCUAAAACCUUGUGUUCCCCAUUCGAGCAGCCCGCACUUCCAGAAGGUACCAAAUGUUUUGCAUCUGGGAAACCUGCAAAAAAAUGGAGCUACUGGGGCCGAAGUUACUAAAGCUAUCACCUCGUGUUUAUCGUCUAUGUUGCGCCUGCAUACACUGUCGAGAAAUCUGCGUUUAAGAGUUGUUGAGUAGCGGGGCAUUCGAUUUGGUUAGUUCUGGGUUCAUCAAAACUUCCAAUAGGGACUACAAUACGAUAAAGAAAAAAGCAUUCACUUAGCAAGUUAACGAUGGAACACCUAACUAUGUUUCCAUACUUGGAUUUA
rnacentral:misc_RNA from 1 species